rnacentral:rRNA from 1 species
AUUGAACGCUGGCGGCAGGCCUAACACAUGCAAGUCGAGCGGAUGAAGGGAGCUUGCUCCUGGAUUCAGCGGCGGACGGGCGAGUAAUGCCUAGGAAUCUGCCUGGUAGUUGGGGAUAACGUCCGGAAACGGGCGCUAAUACCGCAUACGUCCUGAGGGAGAAAGUGGGGGAUCUUCGGACCUCACGCUAUUAGAUGAGCCUAGGUCGGAUUAGCUAGUUGGUGGGGUAAAGGCCUACCAAGGCGACGAUCCGUAACUGGUCUGAGAGGAUGAUCAGUCACACUGGAACUGAGACACGGUCCAGACUCCUACGGGAGGCAGCAGUGGGGAAUAUUGGACAAUGGGCGAAAGCCUGAUCCAGCCAUGCCGCGUGUGUGAAGAAGGUCUUCGGAUUGUAAAGCACUUUAAGUUGGGAAGAAGGGCAGUAAGUUAAUACCUUGCUGUUUUGACGUUACCGACAGAAUAAGCACCGGCUAACUUCGUG